UACGAAGGGGGCUAGCGUUGCUCGGAAUUACUGGGCGUAAAGCGCACGUAGGCGGCUUUCUAAGUCGGGGGUGAAAUCCUGGAGCUCAACUCCAGAACUGCCUUCGAUACUGGAGAGCUCGAGUCCGGGAGAGGUGAGUGGAACUCCGAGUGUAGAGGUGAAAUUCGUAGAUAUUCGGAAGAACACCAGUGGCGAAGGCGGCUCACUGGCCCGGUACUGACGCUGAGGUGCGAAAGCGUGGGGAGCAAACAGG
rnacentral:rRNA from 1 species